rnacentral:rRNA from 1 species
GAUGAACGCUGGCGGCGUGCCUAAUACAUGCCAGUCGAGCGAACGGACGAGAAGCUUGCUUCUCUGAUGUUAGCGGCGGACGGGUGAGUAACACGUGGAUAACCUACCUAUAAGACUGGGAUAACUUCGGGAAACCGGAGCUAAUACCGGAUAAUAUUUUGAACCGCAUGGUUCAAAAGUGAAAGACGGUCUUGCUGUCACUUAUAGAUGGAUCCGCGCUGCAUUAGCUAGUUGGUAAGGUAACGGCUUACCAAGGCAACGAUGCAUAGCCGACCGGAGAGGGUGAUAGGCCACACUGGAAGUGAAACACGGUCCAGACUCCUACGGGAGGCAGCAGUAGGGAAUCUUCCGCAAUGGGCGAAAGCAUGACGGAGCAACGCCACGUGAGUGAUGAAGGUCUUCGGAUCGUAAAACUCUGUUAUUAGGGAAGAACAUAUGUGUAAGUAACCGUGCACAUCUUGACGGUACCUAAUCAGAAAGCCACGGCUAACUACGUG